AUAUUUCGGAACUGAGUCUAGUUCCUUCGAUAUCAGUGCAUUCUUAUUUACAAACAUCAUAUUCACCUGAGUACAUAACACCAACACACACAAAAUAAUCACAUAUCAUACAAUGCACUGAUAUCGAAGGAACUAGACUCAGUUCCGAAAUAU